CUCUCUUUAGGUGCCACACCACCAGUGGUUCGUGCCCAGCUCCCAGCAUAUUGGGAAUCUGAGAUCACCUCCUUGCUGCGUAAGCCCAGCGCCCGGAGAGUUCAGGCAUUUGGGAGAUACCUCAGGCCAGCUGAGAGGACGGGCAUCGUCCUUGUGGCCAUCGAGAUCCUGGGCCGCUCCAGCCUCCUGGACAAGAAGGCACCCAAGGAGUUUCUGGAGGUGGCCAUGGAAUCCCCUCAGCUGUGGCUGAUGGAUGUAAGUGGCCUGUGGCUGGAUUGCUCUGCCCUUGAGCUCUGUCAGGUUCCUGCCU
rnacentral:lncRNA from 1 species